UGGGGAAUAUUGCACAAUGGGCGCAAGCCUGAUGCAGCCAUGCCGCGUGUGUGAAGAAGGCCUUCGGGUUGUAAAGCACUUUCAGCGAGGAGGAAGGGCUCAGUGUUAAUAGCACUGUUCAUUGACGUUACUCGCAGAAGAAGCACCGGCUAACUCCGUGCCAGCAGCCGCGGUAAUACGGAGGGUGCAAGCGUUAAUCGGAAUUACUGGGCGUAAAGCGCACGCAGGCGGUUUGUUAAGUCAGAUGUGAAAUCCCCGCGCUUAACGUGGGAACUGCAUUU
rnacentral:rRNA from 1 species